ACGGGAUUGCCUUAGUAACGGCGAGUGAAGCGGCAAAAGCUCAAAUUUGAAAUCUGGUACCUUCGGUGCCCGAGUUGUAAUUUGGAGAGGGCAACUUUGGGGCCGUUCCUUGUCUAUGUUCCUUGGAACAGGACGUCAUAGAGGGUGAGAAUCCCGUGUGGCGAGGAGUGCGGUUCUUUGUAGAGUGCCUUCGAAGAGUCGAGUUGUUUGGGAAUGCAGCUCUAAGUGGGUGGUAAAUUCCAUCUAAAGCUAAAUAUUGGCGAGAGACCGAUAGCGAACAAGUACAGUGAUGGAAAGAUGAAAAGAACUUUGAAAAGAGAGUGAAAAAGUACGUGAAAUUGUUGAAAGGGAAGGGCAUUUGAUCAGACAUGGUGUUUUGUGCCCUCUGCUCCUUGUGGGUAGGGGAAUCUCGCAUUUCACUGGGCCAGCAUCAGUUUUGGUGGCAGGAUAAAUCCAUAGGAAUGUAGCUUGCCUCGGUAAGUAUUAUAGCCUGUGGGAAUACUGCCAGCUGGGACUGAGGACUGCGACGUAAGUCAAGGAUGCUGGCAUAAUGGUUAUAUGC
rnacentral:rRNA from 1 species